GGAGAUGUGGCUCAGUGGUAGAGUCUUUGCCUUUCAUGUUCAGGCUCUGGGUUCAAUUCCUAGCAAUACCA
rfam:Mus musculus chromosome 12, GRC primary reference assembly.